GGAUUUUUGACUGAAUGGUUAGAGUGUCCACCUCGGACGCGGGAGGUCGCGGGUUUGAGCCCAGCCGAGUCAUAUCA